GGUUUUACCAGGAUUCCUAUGACGGACGAGACUUUCUUACCUUUGAUAAGGAGACCAUGACUUGGGUAGCAGCAGAUAUUAGGGCUCAGAUCACCAAGAGGAGAUGGGAGGCUGAAGUACUUGAGAACCAGCGAUGUAAAGAGUAGGGGAG